UACGUAGGGGGCAAGCGUUGUCCGGAAUUACUGGGCGUAAAGGGUGCGUAGGCGGUUAGUUAAGUCUGUCGUGAAAUCCCCGGGCUCAACCUGGGAAUUGCGAUGGAGACUGCAAGGCUUGAAUCUGGCAGAGGGGGGUAGAAUUCCACGUGUAGCAGUGAAAUGCGUAGAGAUGUGGAGGAACACCGAUGGCGAAGGCAGCCCCCUGGGUCAAGAUUGACGCUCACGCACGAAAGCGUGGGGAGCAAACAGG
rnacentral:rRNA from 1 species